GCUAGGUGAUGCAGAAUGCCCCCAAGAAGAAAUCGACCAUGUAAAUGAAUGGUGAGGACUGGGGCAAUCAACUGUUUGACAACAUUUUACAUCACCUCUUGACUAUAAGAUGUGUUAUGCAAUCCUCUUUAGCUAAAUUUACGAUGCUGAAAUCUCCACUUCCUUGAGCAAAUCCAGCUUUUCCUGCUUUCUCUUUGUCUUCUCUACAUAUUUCUUCUUCAGUG
rnacentral:misc_RNA from 1 species